UUAGGAAUAUUCGGCAAUGGGGGAAACCCUGACCGAGCAAUGCCGCGUGAGUGAUGAAGGUUCUAUGAAUUGUAAAACUCUGUUGUAUGGGAAGAACGGUCAGUAUAGGAAAUGAUACUGACGUGACGGUACCAUGCCAGAAAGCUCCGGCUAACUACGUGCCAGCAGCCGCGGUAAUACGUAGGGAGCGAGCGUUAUCCGGAUUUAUUGGGCGUAAAGCGUGUGUAGGCGGUUUAUUAAGUAUAAGAUUAAAACCUGAGGCUCAACCUCAGUUCGUCUUAUAAACUGGUAGACUCGAGUAUAGUAGAGGCAAGUGGAAUUUCUAGUGUAGCGGUAAAAUGUGUAGAUAUUAGAAGGAACACCAGUGGCGAAGGCGACUUGCUGGGCUAUUACUGACGCU
rnacentral:rRNA from 1 species